GGUCCUAUAGUGUAGUGGUUAUCACAGCGGAUUCUGAUGGGUGGGAUCAUUGAACAAGACAAGAUUCCGCUAACGCAGGUUCGAGUCCUGCUAGGACCU
rnacentral:tRNA from 1 species